UGAACGCUAGCGGCAGGCUUAACACAUGCAAGUCGAGGGGCAGCGCGUCGUAGCAAUACGAUGGCGGCGACCGGCGGAAGGAUGCGUAACGCGUGAGCAACUUGCCCGUCACAGGGGGGAUAACCGGUGGAAACGCCGACUAACACCCCGUAACACAUUUCGCUGCAUGGCGAGAUGUUGAAAACUCCGGUGGUGACGGAUAGGCUCGCGUGCCAUUAGCUAGUCGGCGGGGCAACGGCCCACCGAGGCGACGAUGGCUAGGGGUUCUGAGAGGAAGGCCCCCCACACUGGGACUGAGACACGGCCCAGACUCCUACGGGAGGCAGCAGUGAGGAAUAUUGGACAAUGGAGGCAACUCUGAUCCAGCCAUGCCGCGUGAAGGACUAAGGCCCUAUGGGCUGUAAACUUCUUUAGACGCAGAGCAAUAAGGGCCACGCGUGGUCCGAUGAGAGUAUGCGUAGAAUAAGCAUCGGCUAACUCCGUG
rnacentral:rRNA from 1 species